UACGUAGGGUGCAAGCGUUGUCCGGAUUUACUGGGCGUAAAGCGAACGCAGGCGGGCCUUUAAGUAGGAAGUGAAAGGUUGGAGCUCAACUCUAACACUGCUCCCUAUACUGGAGGCCUUGAGUUUCGGAGAGGAAGACGGAACUGCAGGUGUAGCGGUGAAAUGCGUUGAUAUCUGCAGGAACACCAAUGGCGAAAGCAGUCUUCUGGACGAAUACUGACGCUCAGGUUCGAAAGCCAAGGUAGCAAACAGG
rnacentral:rRNA from 1 species